rnacentral:rRNA from 1 species
AGUGAACGCUGGCGGUAGGCCUAACACAUGCAAGUCGAACGGCAGCACAGUAAGAGCUUGCUCUUACGGGUGGCGAGUGGCGGACGGGUGAGGAAUACAUCGGAAUCUACUUUUUCGUGGGGGAUAACGUAGGGAAACUUACGCUAAUACCGCAUACGACCUACGGGUGAAAGCAGGGGAUCUUCGGACCUUGCGCGAUUGAAUGAGCCGAUGUCGGAUUAGCUAGUUGGCGGGGUAAAGGCCCACCAAGGCGACGAUCCGUAGCUGGUCUGAGAGGAUGAUGAGGAACAAGGGAACUGAGAUACGGGAGAGACGCCAACGGGAGGCAGCAGUGGGGAAUAGUGGACAAGGGGCUGAAGAAUGAACCACCCAUACGGAGGGAGAGAAGAAGGCCUGGGGGGUGUAAAGCCGUGCUGGUGGUAAAGAAAAGCAGAAGCUUAAUACACCGCUGGGCGGACGGGAGCCAAAGAAUAAGAAAGGGCUAGUUUCGUG